rnacentral:rRNA from 1 species
GACGAACGCUGGCGGUGUGCUUAACACAUGCAAGUCGAACGGUAAGGCCCUUUCGGGGGUACACGAGUGGCGCACGGGUGAGUAACACGUGAGUAACCUGCCUUCAUCUCUGGGAUAACAGUCGGAAACGGUUGCUAAUACUGGAUAUGAGCUUGCAAGGCAUCUUGUGGGUUGGAAAGAUUUUUUUUGGUUGGGGAUGGACUCGCGGCCUAUCAGCUUGUUGGUGAGGUAGUGGCUCACCAAGGCUUCGACGGGUAGCCGGCCUGAGAGGGCCACCGGCCACAUUGGGACUGAGAUACGGCCCAAACUCCUACGGGAGGCAGCAGUGGGGAAUAUUGCACAAUGGACGGAAGUCUGAUGCAGCAACGCCGCGUGCGGGAUGACGGCCUUCGGGUUGUAAACCGCUUUCAAUUGUGACGAAGCUUUUUUGUGACGGUAGCAGUAGAAGAAGCACCGGCUAACUACGUG